rnacentral:rRNA from 1 species
AUACGUAGGGGGCAAGCGUUGUCGGGAAUUACUGGGCGUAAAGAGCUCGUAGGCGGCUCAGCAAGUCGGUCGUGAAAGCCCGAGGCUCAACCUCGGAACUGCGGUCGAUACUGCUGUGGCUAGAGUCCGGUAGAGGAGAGUGGAAUUCCCGGUGUAGCGGUGGAAUGCGCAGAUAUCGGGAGGAACACCAGUGGCGAAGGCGGCUCUCUGGGCCGGUACUGACGCUGAGGAGCGAAAGCGUGGGGAGCAAACAGGAUUAGAAACCCUAGUAGUCC